UACGGAGGUGGCAAGCGUUGCUCGGAAUCACUGGGCGUAAAGGGCGCGUAGGCGGGGAGGUAAGUCGGGUGUGAAAUCCCUCGGCCCAACCGAGGAACUGCGCCCGAGACUGCUUCUCUUGAGUCCCGGAGAGGAAGAUGGAAUUCCCGGUGUAGCGGUGAAAUGUGUAGAGAUCGGGAGGAACACCGGUGGCGAAGGCGACAUCCUGGACCGGCAUUGACGCUGAGGCGCGAAAGCCAGGGGAGCAAACGGG
rnacentral:rRNA from 1 species